UGGCGACCGGCGCACGGGUGAGUAACACGUAUCCAACCUGCCGAUAACUCGGGGAUAGCCUUUCGAAAGAAAGAUUAAUAUCCGAUAGGAUAUCAAGAUCGCAUGAUCUUGAUAUUAAAGAAUUUCGGUUAUCGAUGGGGAUGCGUUCCAUUAGUUAGUUGGCAGGGUAACGGCCCACCAAGACGACGAUGGAUAGGGGUUCUGAGAGGAAGGUCCCCCACAUUGGAACUGAGACACGGUCCAAACUCCUACGGGAGGCAGCAG
rnacentral:rRNA from 1 species